AGAGUUUGAUCAUGCCUCAGAUUGAACGCUGGCGGCAGGCCUAACACAUGCAAGUCGAGCGGUAGAGAGGUGCUUGCACCUCUUGAGAGCGGCGGACGGGUGAGUAAAGCCUAGGAAUCUGCCUGGUAGUGGGGGAUAACGCUCGGAAACGGACGCUAAUACCGCAUACGUCCUACGGGAGAAAGCAGGGGACCUUCGGGCCUUGCGCUAUCAGAUGAGCCUAGGUCGGAUUAGCUAGUUGGUGAGGUAAUGGCUCACCAAGGCGACGAUCCGUAACUGGUCUGAGAGGAUGAUCAGUCACACUGGAACUGAGACACGGUCCAGACUCCUACGGGAGGCAGCAGUGGGGAAUAUUGGACAAUGGGCGAAAGCCUGAUCCAGCCAUGCCGCGUGUGUGAAGAAGGUCUUCGGAUUGUAAAGCACUUUAAGUUGGGAGGAAGGGCAUUAACCUAAUACGUUAGUGUUUUGACGUUACCGACAGAAUAAGCACCGGCUAACUCUGUGCCAGCAGCCGCGGUAAUACAGAGGGUGCAAGCGUUAAUCGGAAUUACUGGGCGUAAAGCGCGCGUAGGUGGUUCGUUAAGUUGGAUGUGAAAUCCCCGGGCUCAACCUGGGAACUGCAUUCAAAACUGUCGAGCUAGAGUAUGGUA
rnacentral:rRNA from 1 species